rnacentral:rRNA from 1 species
GGUGGCGGCGCUACCAUGCAAGUCGAGCGGAUGAGAGGAGCUUGCUCUUCGAUUCAGCGGCGGACGGGUGAGUAAUGCCUAGGAAUCUGCCUAGUAGUGGGGGACAACGUUUCGAAAGGAACGCUAAUACCGCAUACGUCCUACGGGAGAAAGUGGGGGAUCUUCGGACCUCACGCUAUUAGAUGAGCCUAGGUCGGAUUAGCUAGUUGGUAGGGUAAAGGCCUACCAAGGCGACGAUCCGUAACUGGUCUGAGAGGAUGAUCAGUCACACUGGAACUGAGACACGGUCCAGACUCCUACGGGAGGCAGCAGUGGGGAAUAUUGGACAAUGGGCGAAAGCCUGAUCCAGCCAUGCCGCGUGUGUGAAGAAGGCCUUCGGGUCGUAAAGCACUUUAAGUUGGGAGGAAGGGCUCAUAGCGAAUACCUGUGAGUUUUGACGUUACCAACAGAAUAAGCACCGGCUAACUUCGUGCCAGCAGCCGCGGUAAUACGAAGGGUGCAAGCGUUAAUCGGAAUUACUGGGCGUAAAGCGCGCGUAGGUGGCUUGAUAAGUUGGAUGUGAAAUCCCCGGGCUCAACCUGGGAACUGCAUCCAAAACUGUCUGGCUAGAGUGCGGUAGAGGGUAGUGGAAUUUCCAGUGUAGCGGUGAAAUGCGUAGAUAUUGGAAGGAACACCAGUGGCGAAGGCGACUACCUGGACUGACACUGACACUGAGGUGCGAAAGCGUGGGGAGCAAACAGGAUUAGAUACCCUGGUAGUCCACGCCGUAAACGAUGUCAACUAGCCGUUGGGAUCCUUGAGAUCUUAGUGGCGCAGCUAACGCAUUAAGUUGACCGCCUGGGGAGUACGGCCGCAAGGUUAAAACUCAAAUGAAUUGACGGGGGCCCGCACAAGCGGUGGAGCAUGUGGGUUAAUUCGAAGCAACGCGAAGAACCUU